GAUAAACGCUGGCGGCGUGCUUAACACAUGCAAGUCGAACGAAGUUUUUCCUUCGGGAGAAACUUAGUGGUGGCCGGGUGAGUAACGCGUGGAUAACCUGCCCUGUACAGGGGGACAACAGCUGCAAACGGCAGCUAAUACUGCUUAAGCCUUUAGCACUGCAUGGUGCAUAGGGAAAAGGAGCAAUCCGGUACAGGAUGGACCCGCGUCUGAUUAGCCAGCUGGCAGGGUAACGGCCUACCAAAGCGACGAUCAGUAGCCGAUCUGAGAGGAUGUACGGCCACAUUGGGACUGAGACACGGCCCAGACUCCUACGGGAGGCAGCAGUGGGGAAUAUUGCACAAUGGAGGAAACUCUGAUGCAGCGACGCCGCGUGAGUGAAGAAGUAUUUCGGUAUGUAAAGCUCUAUCAGCAGGGAAGAAAAUGACGGUACCUGACUAAGAAGCACCGGCUAAAUACGUG
rnacentral:rRNA from 1 species